rnacentral:rRNA from 1 species
AGCUACAGCCACGCCACCCUGAACAUGCCCGAUUCCAUCUGAUCUCAGAAGCUAAGCAGGGUUGGGCAUGGUUAGUACUUGGACGAGAAACCACCUAGGAAAACCAGGUGCAGUUC